rnacentral:rRNA from 1 species
GGCUUGUAGUCAUAUGCUUGUCUCAAAAAUUAAGCCAUGCAUGUCUAAGUAUAAGCAAUUAUACCGUGAAACUGCGAAUGGCUCAUUAAAUCAGUUAUCGUUUAUUUGAUAGUACCUUACUACUUGGAUAACCGUGGUAAUUCUAGAGCUAAUACAUGCUGAAAACCCCAACUUCGGGAGGGGUGUAUUUAUUAGAUAAAAAACCAACGCCCUUCGGGGCUUCUUGGUGAUUCAUGAUAACUUCACGGAUCGCAUGGCCUUGCGCCGGCGACGGUUCAUUCAAAUUUCUGCCCUAUCAACUUUCGAUGGUAAGGUAUUGGCUUACCAUGGUUUCAACGGGUAACGGGGAAUUAGGGUUCGAUUCCGGAGAGGGAGCCUGAGAAACGGCUACCACAUCCAAGGAAGGCAGCAGGCGCGCAAAUUACCCAAUCCCGACACGGGGAGGUAGUGACAAUAAAUACUGAUACAGGGCUCUUUUGGGUCUUGUAAUUGGAAUGAGUACAAUUUAAACCUCUUAACGAGGAACAAUUGGAGGGCAAGUCUGGUGCCAGCAGCCGCGGUAAUUCCAGCUCCAAUAGCGUAUAUUAAAGUUGUUGCAGUUAAAAAGCUCGUAGUUG